CAAGCCGAUGAUCUGUAGCUGGUUUGAGAGGAUGAUCAGCCACACUGGGACUGAGACACGGCCCAGACUCCUACGGGAGGCAGCAGUGGGGAAUAUUGGACAAUGGGGGAAACCCUGAUCCAGCAAUGCUGCGUGAAUGAAGAAGGCCUUAGGGUUGUAAAAUUCUUUUGUUCGUGAAGAUAAUGACGGUAGCGGACGAAUAAGCCCUGGCUAACUCUGUGCCAGCAGCCGCGGUAAUACAGAGAGGGCAAGCGUUGUCCGGAAUGACUGGGCGUAAAGCGCGCGCAGGCGGUUUUUUAAGUUGGAUGUGAAAUCCCCGGGCUCAACCUGGGAACUGCAUUCGAUACUGGGAAACUAGAGGCCGAGAGAGGAAAGCGGAAUGACGAGUGUAGAGGUGAAAUUCGUAGAUACUCGUCGGAACACCAGAGGCGAAGGCGGCUUUCUGGCUCGG
rnacentral:rRNA from 1 species